rnacentral:rRNA from 1 species
AACAUGGGCGGGCAUGCUUUAACAUGCAAGUCGAACGGAUCCUUCGGGAUUAGUGGCGGACGGGUGAGUAACACGUGGGAACGUGCCUUUUGGUUCGGAAUAACUCAGGGAAACCUGAGCUAAUACCGAAUGUGCCCUUCGGGGGAAAGAUUUAUCGCCAUUAGAGCGGCCCGCGUCUGAUUAGCUUGUUGGUGAGGUAAAGGCUCACCAAGGCUACGAUCCGUAGCUGGUCUGAGAGGACGAUCAGCCACACUGGUACUGAGACACGGACCAGACUCCUACGGGAGGCAGCAGUGAGGAAUAUUGGUCAAUGGGCGCAAGCCUGAUCCAGCCAUGCCGCGUGAGUGAUGAAGGCCUUAGGGUUGUAAAACUCUUUCACCGGUGAAGAUAAUGACGGUAACCGGAGAAGAAGCCCCGGCUAACUUCGUGCCAGCAGCCGCGGUAAUACGAAGGGGGCUAGCGUUGUUCGGAAUUACUGGGCGUAAAGCGCACGUAGGCGGAUAUUUAAGUCAGGGGUGAAAUCCCAGAGCUCAACUCUGGAACUGCCUUUGAUACUGGGUAUCUCGAGUAUGGAAGAGGUGAGUGGAAUUCCGAGUGUAGAGGUGAACUUCGUAGAUAUUGGGAAGAACACCAGUGGCGAAGGCGGCUCACUGGCCAGUUUCUGACGCUGCAGCGCGAAAGCGUGGGGAUCAAACAGGAUUAGAUACCCUGGUAGUCCACGCUGUAAACGAUGAGUGCUAGGCGUCGGCACGCUUGCGUGUCGGUGCCGCAGCUAACGCGUGAAGCACUCCGCCUGGGGAGUACGGUCGCAAGAUUAAAACUCAAACGAUUGACGG